AACGAACGCUGGCGGCAUGCCUAACACAUGCAAGUCGAACGAGGCCCUUCGGGGUUUAGUGGCGCACGGGUGCGUAACGCGUGGGAAUCUGCCCUUAGGUUCGGAAUAACAGCUGGAAACGGCUGCUAAUACCGGAUGAUAUCGCGAGAUCAAAGAUUUAUCGCCUGAGGAUGAGCCCGCGUUGGAUUAGGUAGUUAGUGGGGUAAAGGCCUACCAAGCCGACGAUCCAUAGCUGGUCUGAGAGGAUGAUCAGCCACACUGGGACUGAGACACGGCCCAGACUCCUACGGGAGGCAGCAGUGGGGAAUAUUGGACAAUGGGGGAAACCCUGAUCCAGCAAUGCCGCGUGAGUGAUGAAGGCCCUAGGGUUGUAAAGCUCUUUUACCCGGGAAGAUAAUGACUGUACCGGGAGAAUAAGCCCCGGCUAACUCCGUGCCAGCCGCCGCCGUAACAC
rnacentral:rRNA from 1 species